AGCAGCCGCGGUAAUUCCAGCUCCAAUAGCGUAUAUUAAAGUUGUUGCAGUUAAAAAGCUCGUAGUUGAAUUUCGAGACCGGUUUAUUGGUCGUGCUUUUGUACGUACUGGUAUUAUUGGUUUCUCCUUUCUGACGAAUCAUAAUGCCAUUAAUUUGGUGUUUUGGGGAAUCAGGACUGUUACUUUGAAAAAAUUAGAGUGUUUAAAGCAGGCUCACGCUUGAAUACAUUAGCAUGGAAUAACGAAAUAGGACGUUUGAUUUUAUUUUGUUGGUUUCUAGGAUCGACGUAAUGAUUAAUAGGGAUAGUUGGGGCAUUAGUAUUCAAUUGUCAGAGGUGAAAUUCUUGGAUUUAUUGAAGACUAACUACUGCGAAAGCAUUUGCCAAGGAUGUUUUCAUUAAUCAAGAACGAAAGUUAGGGGAUCGAAGACGAUCAGAUACCGUCGUAGUCUUAACCAUAAACUAUGCCGACUAGGGAU
rnacentral:rRNA from 1 species